UCGAGCGGACCGACGGGAGCUUGCUCCCUUAGGUCAGCGGCGGACGGGUGAGUAACACGUGGGUAACCUGCCUGUAAGACUGGGAUAACUCCGGGAAACCGGGGCUAAUACCGGAUGCUUGAUUGAACCGCAUGGUUCAAUCAUAAAAGGUGGCUUUUAGCUACCACUUACAGAUGGACCCGCGGCGCAUUAGCUAGUUGGUGAGGUAACGGCUCACCAAGGCGACGAUGCGUAGCCGACCUGAGAGGGUGAUCGGCCACACUGGGACUGAGACACGGCCCAGACUCCUACGGGAGGCAGCAGUAGGGAAUCUUCCGCAAUGGACGAAAGUCUGACGGAGCAACGCCGCGUGAGUGAUGAAGGUUUUCGGAUCGUAAAACUCUGUUGUUAGGGAAGAACCAGUACCGUUCGAAUAGGGCGGUACCUUGACGGUACCUAACCAGAAAGCCACGGCUAACUACGUGCCAGCAGCCGCGGUAAUACGUAAGUGGCAAGC
rnacentral:rRNA from 1 species